rnacentral:rRNA from 1 species
UACGAAGGGGGCUAGCGUUGCUCGGAAUCACUGGGCGUAAAGGGUGCGUAGGCGGGCCUUUAAGUCAGGGGUGAAAUCCUGGAGCUCAACUCCAGAACUGCCUUUGAUACUGAAGAUCUUGAGUUCGGGAGAGGUGAGUGGAACUGCGAGUGUAGAGGUGAAAUUCGUAGAUAUUCGCAAGAACACCAGUGGCGAAGGCGGCUCACUGGCCCGAAACUGACGCUGAGGCACGAAAGCGUGGGGAGCAAACAGG